CAGGAAGUAACAUAGCAGGGAGACUCAUAUAUAAACAAGGGCAAGAAGGAAGUCCUUCCUUUCUCUCUUCCUCCUGGUCUUUGCUCUGGAGUUGCCAUGUGAUUUGCCAGCAAGAGAGGGCACCAGCGGAAGGUGUCCUCGAUAAGAUAAGUCUUAUAAAAUAUAUAGAUUUAUUAUAAUUAAGACUGAGCUAGCAUAUAAGAAAUCCUAGGCUUUGGCCAAGCAGCAUUUGUACCUAAUAGAAUCUUCUAUGGAUGCUGAUUAUUAAUACAGAAACAACUGAUCAACAUGUAGAGAAUAAUGGGCUGUGAAAUGCUAAGCCCUAAAUGAAACAUCUAUAUCAUAUUCCCUCCUCCCAUGGACCAGAUAUCAUUGUGGAAGAGGAUUAAGGAGUGGAUCAAUUCAAGAGAACUUUGUCCUCUGGGUGAAGCAGGACAGUUGCACAUAUUAACUCAUAGCAAUUGUAACAGCAUACAGAAGAUCCAUAUCAACAUGUAGAACUCACAGCUCCUUCUCCAGAACCAUGUAUGCCUGCAUGCCAUCAUAUCCUACCAUGACAAUGGACUGACCCUCUGAACUUAAGCCACCCAAUUAAAUGUUAAGUGUUACCAUGGUCAUGGUGUCUAUUCAGAAUAUUAGAAAUUCUAACUAAGGAUUCUCUGAAAUUUGAGAGGAGGGACUUGAUGGAGACAUCCCAUUUAGAGUUGUGUGUUCCAAAGUCUGUCUCUGGGUAAUGUCUGGCAGUGGGUCUCUGAUGUUCCCAUCUUCUGACGGAGGAAGCAUCUUUGAUGAUGGCUGAACAUGGCACUGAUCUAUGAGUCAUUUUAUCACAACUUUUUCUUAAAGACCACUAAUAUUUGUUCUUAUCCAAGGCCUCUGGGUUAUAUAGUCUCUGGUACUAGAUCACCCAAGUAGUAUUGGGUAUUGGUUCCAUCUUGUAGAGUUGGCCAAAUACAGUCAGAUGUUAGUUUAUUGUCUUCAGAACUUUUCU
rnacentral:lncRNA from 1 species